AGGGGAAUAUUYGCACAAUGGGCGMAAGCCUGAUGCAGCGACSCCGCGUGAGGGAUGACGGCCUUCGGGUUGUAAACCUCUUUCAGUAGGGAAGAAGCGAAAGUGACGGUACCUGCAGAARAAGCACCGGCUAACUACGUGCCAGCAGCCGCGGUAAUA
rnacentral:rRNA from 1 species